rnacentral:rRNA from 1 species
UACGUAGGGUGCAAGCGUUAAUCGGAAUUACUGGGCGUAAAGCGUGCGCAGGCGGUCCGUUAAGACAGAUGUGAAAUCCCCGGGCUUAACCUGGGAACUGCAUUUGUGACUGGCGGACUCGAGUAUGGCAGAGGGGGGUAGAAUUCCACGUGUAGCAGUGAAAUGCGUAGAGACGUGGAGGAAUACCGAUGGCGAAGGCAGCCCCCUGGGCCAAUACUGACGCUCAUGCACGAAAGCGUGGGGAGCAAACAGG